AAGACGCUUACACAAUCGCACAGAAAGGGGGAUAAGGGAUUCCAAGUGCUCAGGUGGGCAGGGGCUUUUGCCAAGAGUAAAUAUCUUGGGGAAUAAGGGGGGGGCAAGACUGGUGCCAGCAGCCGCGGUAACACCGGCGGCCCGAGUGUAAAUUUUUUGUUAAAGGCCUACCGGUUUGAUCAUUCUUCGGGAAAUCUAAAGCCCAACUGUUAGGUCCCGGGGAAUACUGCGAUUGACCGGGAGAGGUAAGAGGUACUACCGGGUGGGAGUGAAAUCUUGUAAUCCUGUGGGACCCCAUUGGCGAAGGCGUCUUACCAAAACGGGGCCGACGGUGAGGGACAAAAGCUGGGGGCACAAACCGAAUUAAAUACCCGGGUAGUCCCAGCCGUAAACAAUGUUCGCUAGGGGUCAGGGACGGUGGGCCCGUUUCUGGUGCGGUAGGGAAGCCGUGAAGCGAACCACCUGGGAGGUACGGCCGCAAGGUUAAAACUUAAAGGAAUUGGGGGGGGAAAGGGCGAAUUCGCGGCGCCUAAUUUCUAUUCGCCCUAUAGGGAGUGUAUUACAUUCACGGGCCGUGUUUUUACAAA
rnacentral:rRNA from 1 species